rnacentral:rRNA from 1 species
AGUGAACGCUGGCGGUAGGCCUAACACAUGCAAGUCGAACGGCAGCACAGUAAGAGCUUGCUCUUACGGGUGGCGAGUGGCGGACGGGUGAGGAAUACAUCGGAAUCUACUUUUUCGUGGGGGAUAACGUAGGGAAACUUACGCUAAUACCGCAUACGACCUACGGGUGAAAGCAGGGGAUCUUCGGACCUUGCGCGAUUGAAUGAGCCGAUGUCGGAUUAGCUAGUUGGCGGGGUAAAGGCACACCAAGGCGACGAUCCGUAGCUGGUCUGAGAGGAUGAUCAGCCACACUGGAACUGAGACACGGUCCAGACUCCUACGGGAGGCAGCAGUGGGGAAUAUUGGACAAUGGGCGCAAGCCUGAUCCAGCCAUGCCGCGUGGGUGAAGAAGGCCUUCGGGUUGUAAAGCCCUUUUGUUGGGAAAGAAAAGCAGCAGGUGAAUACCCCGCUGUUCUGACGGUACCCAAAGAAUAAGCACCGGCUAACUUCGUG